GCUGUCUUGAAAAAAAAAAAAAAAAAUGAAGCAAUGUAGAGAAUAUCAGCAUAGCCCCUAUGCAAGAAUGACACAAAAAUUUGUGAAGUGUUCCAUAUUUAA